UCAAACUUGGUCAUUUAGAGGAAGUAAAAGUCGUAACAAGGUUUCCGUAGGUGAACCUGCGGAAGGAUCAUUACCAAAUCCAAAUCUCAACCCCAUGUCAACUGUUGUUUGUCUGUCUUUGGGGGUGGCACUGAGGCUUGUGAGAAAAGCAGGCGCUUGCCGUUUUGCCUCCCCAGCUUUUUUGCUGCCCCCAAGUGAACCCGGCACUCCGGUGCUUUUGGGUUCAGCAGCUAAACCACUUUUCAAACUCUGUUGGAAUAUCUUUUUAUUAAACACUAAUAAAAGACAACUCUUAACGGUGGAUCUCUUGGCUCGUGCAUCGAUGAAGAACGCAGC
rnacentral:misc_RNA from 1 species